AUGUUGCUGAAUUUUGCCAAUGACACAGAAGAAGGGCUGGAUUUUUUCAUGUAUUUGUCUGAUGUCUCUGCUCCCAAAACUCUCUUUGCCCCUCUGAAUUCUGGCUUUGCAGACAAUGAGGUAAGCAAGCAGGGAUGAACUAUCAGGGCCCCAGAGGACAGCAGGUGUCACCAAAGCUGGCAUGACAGUGUGAAAUAGCCUGGGGAAGGAGGAGGAAUGUGGGUCAGAGAGGACCAGUGGAUUGGACGUCUCCAGCCCAGCCAUUCCCUCAGAAGAGCCAUUUAGGUCAGGAUGCUCAGACCCUUCUCCAGCUGAGCUUUGACAAUCCUAAGGAUGGCAAAUCCCCUCUGCUCUGCACAGUUCUGUGCUAUCUAUCAAUGGAGCUGUCUAUGGCCAUGAGAGAGCCUGGGCUUGGCUGGGGGGGUGCACAGUAGCAGGGAAAGGGAGAGACCAGCUCACCCAUUUCUCACGCCUGUGCACUGAUGCUUAUUCAGACACUGACAGGAGAAGAACUGAAGCUCCACGUGUCAUCCAGCAAUGUCAUCCUCUUCAGCUUCAACCUCACAACGGGCACCAUCAUCCCAUCCCAGUCAGGAUACGACCUCCAUGUAUCAGAGCUCCCAGCAAGCAACAGUACAAAGCACUCAGUACGUUUAGCCUUGGCAGAGGGCAAAAAACACCACAAGUUUCCACCACAUCUCUUUUGAGACAGGGAAUGAUGGGGAGCCUUUCUGGGCAGGUGACAUCAUCUGUGUCCUGUGCUGUAGGACGCCAAGGGGAUCAAUGACACGAUGAUUGUGGAGUGGGACAUCAUAGCUUUCAAUGGCAUCAUUCACGUGAUAGCAGAGCCGCUGAGGAUCCCACCGCCCCUUGUUCACCUCGGCCAGGUCAGUCUGGGGCACGAACAGGGCUGGCAUCAGGCCUGGGGCUGGGGAUGAUGUGACAGAGUCAUCCCAAGAACUGGCCUUGUCCUCUGCUCCUGGCACGGCUCAUUUUGGGAGGGCUGCCCACGGCCCCACUGCGGAGCGGUUCCAUGGCUGUGCCGGGGCAGCGUCGUCAGGGGGGGGGGCCGCUGUUUUGGCACAGGUGAACGGUGCGGGGCCGAGCUCCGUGGCCACGGGGACGUUGUCAGCGCUGUGCUUCGCGCUGGUGCUGCUUGCCGGCGCCGGCGCCGCCUACUACUGCGUGAGGAGGCGGCGGCAGCAGGGGCAGUUCGGGUACUAUCAGGUACGGGCGAGCUGGGGAGCGGGACGAGGGGCGAGGGCGGCGGAUGGAGCCGGGGGGUCGGGCGGAUCGGCCGGGCCCGGCGCGGGGGUCCCGGCGCGGGGCGCGGGUGGCUGCGCGUGAGCGGGCGGGCCGCCAGGGGGAGCCCGUGGGCGACAACGGGCAAGGGGUGGGCGGGGCUCUCCCGGCGCGGUGCCGCAGCGCCGCCCACCCGGCGCUCCCGCUGCAGGCCGAUCUCCGCGGGGACGAGGAGCACGAGGAGGAGGAGGAGGCGCGGCCCCGGCCGGAGCGCGCGGGCCCGCGCACCGCCAGGCCCCGCCCGCAGCGGCCGCUCGUGGCCAUCCCCAACCCGCUGUACGGCGGCCACGCCCCCGACUACGAACCGCUGCACGACCCGCCCCUGGCGGACACCGGCACCGAUCCCCGCGGGUUCCCGCAGUGACCCCGCGCGGCCCCGACCCGACCGCACCGCACCGCACCGCGGGGAAAUAAACAGCUCAGCGCCACCGGCUGUGCCCGCGCCUGCCUCGCCGCCCCGGCCUCCCACCGCCCGCCCCGCCGCUACCGGCCGCCCCCAGCAGGUGGGAGCUCCAGCCCCUCGUGCCCCCGCCCACGCCUGUCAUGGCCCCGUACGAUGGGCCUCCAGCAUCCAGAGCCCCGUUCAGCCGCUCCCAGGGGCGUACGGCCCUCCCUGCUCACGUGCAGCACCCCCAGGGCCCGCCGGGCCUCGCUCCCGUGCCCUCCCACUGCCCCCUGGUCAGGUACGAGUCUCGUCAGUCACCAUCCCGAACACCCUUUGGGGCACACCUUUCACCUUUCCGGGUGCCCCCUGCCUGCACUGCCGCUGUAAGGGCAGCACUGCUCCGUGCUGA
rnacentral:lncRNA from 14 species